GUACACUCCUACGGGAGGCAGCAGUGGGGAAUAUUGCACAAUGGGCGCAAGCCUGAUGCAGCCAUGCCGCGUGUAUGAAGAAGGCCUUCGGGUUGUAAAGUACUUUCAGCGGGGAGGAAGGCGAUAAGGUUAAUAACCUUGUUGAUUGACGUUACCCGCAGAAGAAGCACCGGCUAACUCCGUGCCAGCAGCCGCGGUAAUACGGAGGGUGCAAGCGUUAAUCGGAAUUACUGGGCGUAAAGCGCACGCAGGCGGUCUGUCAAGUCGGAUGUGAAAUCCCCGGGCUCAACCUGGGAACUGCAUUCGAAACUGGCAGGCUAGAGUCUUGUAGAGGGGGGUAGAAUUCCAGGUGUAGCGGUGAAAUGCGUAGAGAUCUGGAGGAAUACCGGUGGCGAAGGCGGCCCCCUGGACAAAGACUGACGCUCAGGUGCGAAAGCGUGGGGAGCAAACAGGAUUAGAAACCCUGGUAGUCCCAUG
rnacentral:rRNA from 1 species